AUUCCAGCUCCAAUAGCGUAUAUUAAAGUUGUUGCGGUUAAAAAGCUCGUAGUUGGAUUUCUGCUGAGGACGACCGGUCCGCCCUCUGGGUGAGUAUCUGGCUCGGCCUUGGCAUCUUCUUGGGGAACGUAACUGCACUUGACUGUGUGGUGCGGUAUCCAGGACUUUUACUUUGAGGAAAUUAGAGUGUUUCAAGCAGGCUUACGCCUUGAAUACAUUAGCAUGGAAUAAUAAGAUAGGACCUUGGUUCUAUUUUGUUGGUUUCUAGAGCUGAGGUAAUGAUUAAUAGGGAUAGUUGGGGGCAUUCGUAUUUAACUGCCAGAGGUGAAAUUCUCCGAUUUGUUAAAGACUAACUUAUGCGAAAGCAUUUGCCAAGGAUGUCUUCAUCA
rnacentral:rRNA from 1 species